rnacentral:rRNA from 1 species
UAAGGGUUCCUGGGUCAAGCUGAUCUGCCCAGGGUAAGUCGGGACCUAAGGCGAGGCCGACAGGCGUAGUCGAUGGAUAACCGGUUGAUAUUCCGGUACCCGCUGUGAAGCGUCAAACAUCGAGCAUCGUGAUGCUAAGGCCGUGAAGCCGCCCUGAUCUCUUCGGAGUUGAGGGGAGUGGUGGAGCCGCCGGACCAAGCGGUUAGUAGGUGAGUGAUGGGGUGACGCAGGAAGGUAGUCCAUCCCGGGCGGUGGUUGUCCCGGGGUAAGGGUGUAGGCCGAGUGAUAGGCAAAUCCGCCACACAUGUGGGGUGAGACCUGAUGCCGAGCCGAUUGUGGUGAAGUGGAUGAUCCUAUGCUGUCGAGAAAAGCCUUUAGCGAGUUUCAUGGCGGCCCGUACCCUAAACCGACUCAGGUGGUCAGGUAGAGAAUACCGAGGCGUUCGGGUGAACUAUGGUUAAGGAACUCGGCAAAAUGCCCCCGUAACUUCGGGAGAAGGGGGGCCACACUCGGUGAUGGGCUUUACGCCCUGAGCUGGGGGUGGCCGCAGAGACCAGCGAGAAGCGACUGUUUACUAAAAACACAGGUCCGUGCGAAGCCGUAAGGCGAUGUAUACGGACUGACGCCUGCCCGGUGCUGGAACGUUAAGGGGACCGGUUAGU